AUGCCCAAAGUGCAUCACUUAAUUCUUAGACCAAUUCUUUCUAGAUCUGAAAAAGUAAAGAUAUAUCAUGAUAAAAGAAUUCAGAAACAAGAAUUUAAUAUCGGUAAUAAAGUUCUUUUAUACAUGUCUCAUUUCAGACAUUUUGCAGGCGAACUUCUCUCCAAAUGGGAAGGGCCAUAUGUCAUCAAAGAAGUUUGCAGUUUUGGAGCUAUGAAGAUAAAUCACGCUGAAGGAAACAAACUGAAGGUUGUUAAUGGGCAAAGACUUAAACACUAUAUUGCAGGUAAUCCCGUUAACAAUGAUUCAGACGUUAUUCAAGUAAUUAUCCACAAAUACCACAUAGAAGAAAACUUUCGAAGGACUCCAGAAACCUAA
rnacentral:rRNA from 1 species